rnacentral:tRNA from 1 species
AAGGGUAGACCUCAGUGGUAGAGUGCGUGCUUAGCGUGCACACGGUCCUGGGUUCAAUCUCCAGUGCCUUUA